CAUGCGGCGUGCCUAUCAUGCAAGUCGUACGCUUCUUUUUCCACCGGAGCUUGCUCCACCGGAAAAAGAAGAGUGGCGAACGGGUGAGUAACACGUGGGUAACCUGCCCAUCAGAAGGGGAUAACACUUGGAAACAGGUGCUAAUACCGUAUAACAAUCGAAACCGCAUGGUUUUGAUUUGAAAGGCGCUUUCGGGUGUCGCUGAUGGAUGGACCCGCGGUGCAUUAGCUAGUUGGUGAGGUAACGGCUCACCAAGGCCACGAUGCAUAGCCGACCUGAGAGGGUGAUCGGCCACAUUGGGACUGAGACACGGCCCAAACUCCUACGGGAGGCAGCAGUAGGGAAUCUUCGGCAAUGGACGAAAGUCUGACCGAGCAACGCCGCGUGAGUGAAGAAGGUUUUCGGAUCGUAAAACUCUGUUGUUAGAGAAGAACAAGGAUGAGAGUAACUGUUCAUCCCUUGACGGUAUCUAACCAGAAAGCCACGGCUAACUACGUGCCAGCAGCCGCGGUAAUACGUAGGUGGCAAGCGUUGUCCGGAUUUAUUGGGCGUAAAGCGAGCGCAGGCGGUUUCUUAAGUCUGAUGUGAAAAGCCCCCGGCUCAACCGGGGAGGGUCAUUGGAAACUGGGAGACUUGAGUGCAGAAGAGGAGAGUGGAAUUCCAUGUGUAGCGGUGAAAUGCGUAUAUAUAUGGAGGAACACCAAUGGCGAAGGU
rnacentral:rRNA from 1 species